ACCUCACCUCGUACAGUAUAACCUUCCAUCCGUAACCUCCUCAUAGCUACCUUCUCCCUUCCUCCACCCCUUCAAAUUCCAUCCCUUUCUUCAUCCUUCUUGUUUCUCCAGUCCAGUCCACCUCUUCCACAUAUUCCUCCCUCCCCGUGUGGUUAUGAUAAGUUGUGGUUGGUGUUCCAGGCGGGGCGAGUCUGCAGCGGCGUGGACGAGAGAUGAGGAAGAGAGGAACACGAGGAAGCAAGGAAGAGAGGGAGAUGGCACGGGAGCAAAGGACGCAGAGAGGAAGAUGAGACAGCUGGGAGUAGAGGAAGAAAGGGAGGGAAGCUGACGAGGAAAGAUGAAAGGAAGGAGAAAAGUCAUGAAGCACAGACAAGAAAGAAAUCAAGCAACCAAACAGAGAAACCAAGGAGGAAAACCCAAGUAGGCGAGUACGAAAGAAUGGGAGAAAAAAAGGCAAGCAAGAGGAAUGGAGACGAGACCCCAAAUGAAGCCACCAUGAGAGAAAGGGAACUCCAACUAUGUCUGUCAAGCAAUAAAGGAAGCAAACCAACAGAGAAACCAAGGAGGAAAACCCAAGCAGGCGAGAAAGAAAGAAUGGGAGGAAAUAGGCAAGCAAGAGGAAUGGAGACGAGACCCCAAAUGAAGCCACCAAGAGAGAAAGGGAACUCCAACUAUGUCUGUCAAGCAAUAAAGGAAGCAAACCAACAGAGAAACCAAGGAGGAAAACCCAAGGAAGUGAGAAAGGGAGAAACAACAAGCAAGAGGAAGGAAACAAGACCCUAAUCAAGCCACCAAAGAAGCGGGGAACUCUUAACUACAUCCGUCCCCUCUCCCAGUCAACAUGCAGAGCCCGUCACUUGACCUCGGAGCUGGCAGGAAGCUGGUUUAGAGUGAGAGAUGAUGCGUAAGAGUCCGAAAGGCUCCCCACAUUACUAUUAUUGUUUGGUUUUUCUUUUUUUUUCUUUUUUUUUAUAAAUUUUCAAGUGGCGGCGAGGAGUGUAGUGUUUCUCCGGAGACUCUUUGAGGUAUUGGAAAGGCAGUGAUGAUUGUUGAGUUUGUAAUAUCACAUCUAAAUACAAAAGACUUAAACCUACUUCUGCUUUCCCACCUAGUUAAGUCCUGCUGUUCUAGAUUCUUUGCCCUAGGGAAGGAAGGCUUGAACUGACUACUACCCACCACCUCCUCUUCAUGCAUUCUGUAGUGACCCUCAUCAGUCUAGAAUUACAGUCAUGCACCCUGCCUGACUGCAUGGGGGCCUUAGCAUUCAUCCCUAGGAGCCAAUACACAACUCUGAUGAAGCCUAACACACACCUCUGAAAUCACUGUGCUCCAGACUUAUAGAAGGAUGAGAGGAGAUGAAUGCCAACUACCUGUGUUUGAAGACCUGGAAAACUGUACCUUCUGUUCUACAUCAAGCAGGUUAUAGUACAUCCAGAGAAGGAUGAAAGGAGAUGAAUGCCAACUACCCGUGUUUGAAGACCUGGAAGACUGUACCUUCUAUUUUACGUUCAGUAGGUUAUAGUAGCAGUACAUCCUGAGAGGAGGCUACAAGUAAGGCAAUACAAAGGGAGGAAUGCCAAGUACAGUGUUAGAAGGACCAUCAUGAACCUGUGUGUCCCUCAUUAUGAAGCUUUUUAUCUAGACAGUGACCAAGACUUAAGAGCAACAAUCACAGAGGAACAUAAUGAGCUUGAAAAGGAGAGAGAGAUGCAGUGACACGGUGCCCCUCAAACACAUGUACUUGCAUUCCUACUACCUAAUGCCUGCUGGACCUUCCCUCCCUACUGAAUAUAGAAGAGGUACAGUUUUCCUCCAUUCUCAUACACUCAGGUACUUGGCAUUCUACCACUUGUACUGCCCUCAAAUUUAAGCCUUUCCUCUUACCCUAUUAAAACUACCUGAUGCCUGCUGGACCUUCCCUUCCUACUGAAUAUAGAAGAGGUACAGUUUUUUUCCAUUCUCAUACACUCAGGUACUUGGCAUUCUAUCACUUGUACUGCCCUCAAAUUUAAGCCUGUCCUCUCACCCUACUACUACUACUAACUAAUGCCUGCUGGUCCUUCCCUCCCUACUGAAUAUAGAAGAGGUACAGGGUUUUUUUCCAUUCUCGUAAACAAACUCAGGUACUUGGCAUUCUACCACUUGUACUGCCAUCAAAUUUAAGCCUGUCCUCUCACCCUACUACUAUCUGAUGCCUGCUGGUCCUUCCCUCCCUACUGAAUAUAGAAGAGGUACAGUUUUCCUCCUUUCUCAUACACUCAGGUACUUGGCAUUCUAUCACUUAUACUGCCCUUAUACUGCUGAUUCUCCUCUCCCUGCUGGAUGUAGAAGAGGAGCUGGGCGGCCUGCUGAGAUAACCACUCCCUCCUUGACACUGAU